rnacentral:rRNA from 1 species
UACAGAGGUCUCAAGCGUUGUUCGGAUUUAUUGGGCGUAAAGGGCGCGUAGGCGGCGGGGUAAGUCAGGUGUGAAAUCUCAGGGCUCAACCCUGAAACUGCACUUGAUACUGCUCUGCUUGAGGACUGGAGAGGAGACUGGAAUUCACGGUGUAGCAGUGAAAUGCGUAGAUAUCGUGAGGAAGACCAGUGGCGAAGGCGGGUCUCUGGACAGUUCCUGACGCUGAGGCACGAAGGUCAGGGGAGCAAACGGG